GAUUUUUGUAGGUGCACCACUUGGAACCCAAGGAGGAACCCAAGCAUCUCCCAAUGUUGAUUAUGGAAAUUUGAUGGAAUGUGUGAUUAACAAGCAAAGUUGUGAGCAUGUACCAGUUGAUAGACGAACACGUAAGUAAAACAAGACUUAGCAAGCAAAGCAGGCAUUUGUUUGAAACACGCAGGGGUGCCUGAGUAAAUGCC